UUUCUGAUGGUGUAACGGUAGCACACUCGGAUCGUAUUCGAGAGGCCCAGGUUCGAGUCCCGGCAAGGGAA
rnacentral:tRNA from 1 species